CAGCCGCCGCGGGAAUACAGAGGGUGCGAGCGUUAAUCGGAUUUACUGGGCGUAAAGCGUGCGUAGGCGGCUUCUUAAGUCGGAUGUGAAAUCCAUGAGCUUAACUUAGGAAUUGCAUUCGAUACUGGGAAGCUAGAGUAUGGGAGAGGAUGGUAGAAUUCCAGGUGUAGCGGUGAAAUGCGUAGAGAUCUGGAGGAAUACCGAUGGCGAAGGCAGCCAUCUGGCCUAAUACUGACGCUGAGGUACGAAAGCAUGGGGAGCAAACAGGAUUAGAUACCCGUGUAGUCCCUGUCUCUUAUAC
rnacentral:rRNA from 1 species